UUUAUAGUUUUGUAAAACUAUAAUUCUAUUUUUGCUGCAAAUUUUUAAGAAUGAGGGGGUCUGGAUUACUCCUCUGUGCUACCUAACAUUGCCCCAUGGGAAAUCAGUUGAAUUUUACCACUGCUGGUGUUAUUUUUUACACUAAAAGUGUAUGAACCACACUGAACAAAAUCUGGAGAUAAAAGGCUGUAAAAUCUUUUGAGUGUUCUAGAAAGAAAUGUCAGAGACAUUUUGGAGACAUGUCUAGAAAACAAUGUCAGAGACAGCAGCAUAGCCCGAAGAGCAAGGCCUCACAAUUCUUUGCAUAAACUCCCAUGAAGAGCCCCUCUCUGCAAGGUGAGAAAGAUGGGAUAAAUGCACCCAGGAUUAAAGGGAGGACUAAAGAAUAAUCUGUCAGGAAGAGAAACCUGUUUUCCUAACAGUGUCUGUCCUUACCCAGUUCCUCUCAGAAGCAGCAGGGCCCUGUCUCCCUCAGGCAGCAGCAGUGAGGCUCCAGGUCGGCCUGCAGAGGCUGGAGAACAACAAUGGUCAGAUCAUUAAAGAAAUGAACUUGGCAGCGUGAUGGAAGGGAGACAAUGGGGCUGUUCUGCAGGAGUGGAUUCCAGCUCACCAAGACUGAAUAACAACCUCAGAUCCCAACAUGACCCAUGGAAACCACAGCUGGAACGAGCUCACUGGAAAAGCAAAGUGCUUGCCAGCAAAAGGGAAGGAUCAAGAGGAAAGAUGUUCAGAUCAAAUGCACACUUUUGCUGGAGCAAAGGCAACCAGGACUGACACGAUUUCCCCAUCAGUGAUGCUUGACUGGCUGUGAAAAGAAGCAGCUCCAAGUCUUGCUGUGAGAGAAAAAGAACUCGUAAAGUCCUGCAGCCAGAACGACUGCCAGCCAGAUCAGUACCUGGGGCUUUCUGUCGCUGAUAGAUCUGCACACAGAAACUGCGCUUGCAAUUGUGUCAACAUCUGUCUCAAAAGGAGCUGAGAGGCUGAGGAUGAAAUGCUUGUGUUGUUUAUCUGCAUCUCACUUAAGCUGAAAGUAUAUUGAAGUGCCCAGUGCUGGUGAAUUUGCACAUCAACCAGUGAAAUCCAUGUGAGUAGAAAAUGUGCAUUUUCUCAGUCUGGAUAUUGGCAGAGGGAUCAUCUAUCACCUGCCUUUCCUGGCUAGCAUGGGCCCGCAUUUGUUCUGAUGAUGCCCUGAGAAGAGUGAGCUGUUGGGGAGAUUCAAAAGUCCUUUAUCUGUGGUGAUGGCCCUCUGAGACAAAUAGCAGAAUGUGAGAGAGGAAAAGUGUUUUCUCUCAAUUUAUGCUCAAUUAGAAUAAGUUGAAAUAUAUGGGAAGUAUAAAACAAUUUACUCUGUAUUCUCCAGAGAUCAAUUAACUAGAAAUAUUGAGAACUUUUAUUAAAAAGAGGCAUAACAAAGAUAUCCUAUCUCACUACUCUUUCCUUUUCUUGUGAAUCGUCUGCACCAAAGAUUUAACAUGUCCAUAAUUCCUUCAUGAACUUAAUGAUCUUUUCCCUCAUACAGAAUGUCACCACAUCAUACUUUGUUGUUAUUAGCCCACUGUGUGCAGAUAC